rnacentral:lncRNA from 1 species
AAUUGUCACAGUCGUGAUAAUCAUUUGUAUUAAAAAAAAUUAGGAAAGUUGUUGUUACUACUUUUAUUAAAUAACGGAUACAGUUCCCUGUGCAUAUCAUGUAAGUACAUUAGGGCGUACAUUUUUAAAGAUUCGAAGCGAUAAAAGUUAUAUCAGGAAGAGGUCAUGCACUUCAAUGUAUCUUACGUAUUGAAUAGUGAAAUAUAUAUAUUUUUUUGCAAUUUUAGUUGUAGUUAUAUGUAUUUCUUAGCAAAUUUCGAAGAAUUUAAAUAUUUAAGUACACCAAAAAUGUUUGAAAUCAAACUUUGUCUUUAUGUCGUGACUUACAUUUUUUUAUUAACAUGGUAGUAUAAAAUAUUGCUUCUUCAGCUAACCUGCUUUCAACAUGUCCGAGUUUCUAGAUAUAUUUUGAGAAAUUGUAUGAAGGUGUAUACUGUCUGCAUGGUCUGUCAAAUAACGAAUUAUGUUAAAAGAGCAGUACAGGGACUAACAUACAUCUUACCAAUUGGGAUUUCAGACACCAAGAUUUAAGAG